GGUGACUAUAGCAUCAGGGUUCCACCUCUUCCCAUUCCGAACAGAGAAGUUAAGCCUGAUCACGCCGAUGGUACUGCGUAACAGUGGGAGAGUAGGUAGUCGCCGCUU
rnacentral:rRNA from 2 species